rnacentral:sRNA from 1 species
AUGGAUACGUUAAGCAUUUAAUUUCUUUUCUCGUUUUUUUCUUCUGCUUUUGUUUUACAAAAUUGACGGAUUAAGUUCAUAAAAUUUGCGGAUUAGGUCUAUAAAAAACACACACUUCACUACGUUAAAGGAUACACGUGAACAUCUGAGCCUGAAAUACAUUAUUAUAUAUUUGUACAUGCCCAAACCAGACGUUAAGACACUUGCCACUGCCACUCGUACACAUUUUAUUGAGUCGUUCUGAGGAAUGCACUGAGUAGGUGCACGGCCGAGGCCAAGGCAGACGCAGAGGCAGAGGCAGGGUCUGAGUGACACACAAGCCCACAUUCCUGGGCGGGGGCUGGUUCACGUCCAUCCCGGAGCUGUGAGCGGGAUGCAAGAUGCGGAACGAGAGCGGGGAGCGGUGAGCGGUGAGCGUGGAGAGCGGUGCCAUAAAACACAGCUUUGUGUGACAACGUCGAAGGAUUAAAAAAUGAUUGCGUGACAAGGCAUUUUAUAAUCAUCAUCUGAAUCACUUAAAAACACAUUCAUCGUCGCUGCCGACUUGUACAUAGCCCGUGAGUCGAUGUCAGCCAGCCGGAGACAGAGCCGGGGUGCGAUCCGGAUUGGGGUUAGGCGAACCGCAAGGGCCAAACAAGCCAUAAACUGGCGCAAUAAAAGUGUAUCAAAUUAAGGAAUGAAUUUGAUGUGCAACAGAAGCAGAAGCGACCUUCUUUUUUUUACAACUGUGUCGCGAGUGAUUCAAAGAUUUUGGCUCAGCUGCCACUGAGUCGAAGAUAACAUCCGUUUCACUCAGUUCGGUUCGGUUUCACUCCGAUAUUAUCGAUUUUAAGUGCUUGCAAUCUGUGUGUGUAUGAGUUUAAGCAAUUGUCCGUAGUUACUUCCUCGAAAAGCAGUCUGAGUUGAAUUAUUUUCUGUUCCUUUUUAAGAGUGAGCUACACACAAAUGUGGUGUCUAUAUUCGCAAUAAGAAAUACGUUGAUUAUUUUCACAUUGCUUUAAAAGUACCAUACACACGAUUACUAUAUAAGUUCAAAUAAGGCGUACAAAA